CGCACACCCAUUUUUUAAGAAAAAAUUAGUCCCAAACCCAUAUUUUCUGAAAUUGCGCUAUUUUGUGUUUUCUUAGAGAUCGACUUCAUUUUUAGGUUUUAUGGUAGGCUUUAUUUUUUAUGAUGAAUUAAAAUUAGGGUUCUAGUCAAAUUCAACAGAUAAGUGGUGCUGGAUUCGAAUUACCAUCAAGCUACAAGAUCAGUGAAACACAAACUAGGGUUUGUUUCGGAUUUAAUCGACUGAAUGAUGACAUCGAGAAUAAGAAAAUUUGGUUUCAUGAAGCUGAAACGAACAGAAGAACUUGAUUGUUGUUGAAUAAGAGAUGGGUUCGAUCUGUGAUAUGAUGAAGAUGUUGUUACCAUGAUAAUUAUCAAGGGAAAGAAUGGGUUUUUAAAGAUGAAGAUGGAGAUGGAGAUGGAUGUGAUGUUUCUGAUAGAUAUGGUUGAUGGGUCUGAGAUGGAAGUAAAUCUGAUGAGCUCUUCUUUAUGCCUUCUAAUUCAGGACAUUGCAGGAAUAAUGGAUCCUGAUUUGAUUGGAAAAUACGAUGAGGUGCAAAUGGAAAGAAUGGUUAUAGCAGUGACCCUUUGUAAACAAGAACAGCUCGAUUACGACCAGAGAUGAGUCAGGUAAUUCUAUUCCAUACGAGUUAUUUCCCUCACUGCAAGAGAUCGUACGCGUCUAGGUAGAUGGACAUGAUAUGUCUGAGAACAUGGAAGGAUAAUCAUAGAUGUGCUAGAAGAGGUGAUUUGGUAAAUGACGUUGAUAGAAAGGAUUUAUGUUCCUGGAAGCUGCUAGGAGAGAGAAAUGGAAUCGAUGUCCUUGCAGCCGGUAUGUGGAACGUAAACGUGGUUGUGCCCUCAUGACGUGCAGAUGUAAAGCAACAUUGUUACCGGUGUUGGAUGUAAGAACUGUAUAUGCAAACUAAAAGCAGGCUGUUGUUGCAGAAUGGUUAUAAAUAUUUUAUUGUGCUAUGCAUUUUUGGGUUUUGUUUGUAUGGUUUUUUACAUGGUUCUCUUGGGAAUUAAGACUCAUAGGAGCUGAUGAUGAGAUUCUUGAGGUGAUUACAUUAAAUCUACAAUGGAUUUCCAAACUGCUAUCGAGGAGACUCUGUCGGAUCUUUUACUCCGGCGAUCAACUGAUUUAGGUGAGCCGACAUCAAGUCACACACACAGGGUGUUUGUAAAAAUGCCUGAAUCACUAGCUUUUCUCAUGUGGUACAAAAGACGCUUCCACAAGAGGGUAUGUAAACUGACACUUUGAUUGGUUUGUAUUUCAGUAUCUCAUUACUGUUGACAACAACAGAAGCAUCAAUUGUAGAUAGUGUUAAUGCAAAAAGCUCAACAUCAAGUUGAGUGCCACAAAUGAGUGCGGCUCUAUGUCAAGUUUCCUUUGAUUUUCAUAUUUUAUUUGAUUUUUCAUGAGCUUUGCGGAGGAAUGACAAAUUCAAUUUUCAUUUCACAAGUGUUUUCUUUGUUGUAGUGGCUGCAUAAUCUAUUAUGCAUCUAUAAAAAUUGUUGAAUAAUUUGUUAUACAAUUAUGAAGAUGGAUGCAUAACCUGUUAUGCAUCUA